rnacentral:lncRNA from 1 species
AAUGUACUAAUAAGCUGUUCUCAGAAACCUGAAAUAUUUCUAUUUUUUUCUCCUUGAUUUCAAGCACAAACUGGAGACUGAAGCUUGUGCGUUCCUUAAGCCUGGAGUGUGCUUGGAUCUCUGGCUUGGUUUAUUCCCACAUCCUGAUUUAAUUGUUAACUUAAGGUUUUAGAAAGAAUCCAGAGGAAUUCCAGUUUCAGAGGUCAGUGCAAUAAAUUAAUUAAAGAAGGUGUGUGGCUUUGGUAG